UUACGGCCAUAUCACGUUGAAACACCUGCUCCUAUACUGACACGGAAGUUAAGCAAUGUUGAGCCUGGUCUGUAUCUAGGUGGGUGACCGCUUGAGAAUGCCAAGUGC